rnacentral:rRNA from 1 species
UACGGAGGGGGCUAGCGUUGUUCGGAAUUACUGGGUGUAAAGCGCACGUAGGCGGCUUUGUAAGUUAGAGGUGAAAGCCCGGGGCUCAACUCCGGAAUUGCCUUUAAGACUGCAUCGCUAGAAUUGUGGAGAGGUAAGUGGAAUUCCGAGUGUAGAGGUGAAAUUCGUAGAUAUUCGGAAGAACACCGGUGGCGAAGGCGGUUCUCUGGGCCUUACCUGACGCUGAGGAGCGAAAGCGUGGGGAGCGAACAGG